UUUAUUUGAUUUAAUUUCUUAAAAAUGUAAGGGACAUUAUUAUAUAAAAAAUUAUUACAUUCAUCUUCAGUCAUGAAGUUUCUUGUAAUUCUUAUCGCGUCUAUAGCGUUGUGUGUUGGCAAUGCCAUUCCUUUGGUUCCUGGUGAUAACAGCCACUACAUAGAGGGUGAGAGCCGCUACAUCUGGAUGCCAGAUGGCGAGGGCGUGCCUCAUCGAAUAGAUCUGGAAGAGCCUAUGGAUGCGGCUUUGCAGAAUUCUCGUAAUGGAGCCAACAAUCAGUACUGGCUUUAUACCAGACAAAAUCCCAAUAAUGCUCAAAUUUUGAUAGAUGGUAAUGCUAACUCUGUUUGGAACUCUAACUAUGACGGUAGGAAACCUUUAAAGGUUAUGGUCCACGGAUGGAACAGUAAUGGUAAUUCAGGAGAGAAUCCUAUCAUCACAUCUGCUUUUCUUGAUACCCAAGACGUUAAUGUCAUCGUAGUGGACUGGCGUGUAUUGGCUAGUUCUAAUUAUUUAAGUGCUGUUCGUGGAGUUCCUGGAGUUGGUAAAUUUUUAGGCAAUUUCAUUGAAUGGCUCUUUAACACUGCUGGUGGAAAUUGGAAUAAUGUACACUUAAUUGGAUUUAGCUUGGGCGCUCAUGUCGUUGGUAGUGCUGGUCGACAAGCCGGCGGCCGAUCGGCCCGCAUUACUGGUUUGGAUCCGGCUGGUCCACUCUGGAUUGGAAACUCCAAUGCUCUAAAUAGUAAUGCUGGACAAUACGUAGAAGUCAUCCACACUGACGGUGGUCUUCUCGGUAUAUUCACCCCGAUUGGAGAUGCCGACUUCUAUCCCAAUGGUGGAAGAUACCCUCAGCCUGGUUGUUCGAGUAGUUCGUGCUCUCACAGUCGCUCAAUAUUACUGUUUGCGUCCAGUGUGCGUACCAAUCACUUUCAAGGCAGAUUAUGUGACGACAUCAACCAAGCACAGAAUAUGCAGUGCACCGGUAGAGUUUUCAAUAUGGGCAAUGGGAUUGUCACUAAGAGAGGUUCUGGCAUCUAUGGUUUAACUACUGGAAGUUCCUGGCCUUAUUAACAUGGAAUAAAAUUAAGCAUACUAUUUACUGUUUCAAGCUAUUGUAUAUUUAACCAAUAAUGAUUCAGCCUCUACGCACCGACUACUGGGAAUUCAUUUAUUAAUGUAAUAAAAGUACAAUAGAAUAAGAGUAAAUAUA
rnacentral:misc_RNA from 1 species